GCAAGUCGAGCGGUCCGCUUGCGGACAGCGGCGAACGGGUGAGUAACACGUAAACAAUCUGCCCUCGAGUUGUGAAUAAUUCACCUAACGGUGUUGUCAUUCCGAAUAUUGUUUUGUCAUCACAUGAUGAUUUAACAAAAGGUGCUGAUGUAUCGCUCGAGGAUGAGUUUGCGUCCCAUUAGCUAGUUGGGGGGGUAACGGCCCACCAAGGCAACGAUGGGUAGCCGGCCUGAGAGGGUGAUC
rnacentral:rRNA from 1 species